GACGCUGGCGGCAUGCCUAACACAUGCAAGUCGAACGAAGCCUUCGGGCUUAGUGGCGCACGGGUGCGUAACGCGUGGGAAUCUGCCCCUCGGUUCGGAAUAACAGUUAGAAAUGACUGCUAAUACCGGAUGAUGACGAAAGUCCAAAGAUUUAUCGCCGAGGGAUGAGCCCGCGUAGGAUUAGCUUGUUGGUGGGGUAAUGGCCCACCAAGGCGACGAUCCUUAGCUGGUCUGAGAGGAUGAUCAGCCACACUGGGACUGAGACACGGCCCAGACUCCUACGGGAGGCAGCAGUGGGGAAUAUUGGACAAUGGGCGAAAGCCUGAUCCAGCAAUGCCGCGUGAGUGAUGAAGGCCUUAGGGUUGUAAAGCUCUUUUACCAGGGAUGAUAAUGACAGUACCUGGAGAAUAAGCUCCGGCUAACUCCGUG
rnacentral:rRNA from 1 species